AGGGUUGUGGCUCAGCGGUAGAGCACCCGCCUUGCACAUGUGGGGGCCCUGGGUUCGAUCCUCAGCACCACAU
rfam:Ictidomys tridecemlineatus contig096630, whole genome shotgun sequence.